GUGGGGAAUAUUGGACAAUGGGCGCAAGCCUGAUCCAGCCAUGCCGCGUGAGUGAUGAAGGCCUUAGGGUUGUAAAGCUCUUUCAGUGGGGACGAUAAUGACGGUACCCACAGAAGAAGCCCCGGCUAACUUCGUGCCAGCAGCCGCGGUAAUACGAAGGGGGCUAGCGUUGUUCGGAUUUACUGGGCGUAAAGCGCACGUAGGCGGAUCGUUAAGUCGGGGGUGAAAUCCUGGAGCUCAACUCCAGAACUGCCUUCGAUACUGGCGAUCUUGAGUUCGGAAGAGGUGAGUGGAACUCCUAGUGUAGAGGUGGAAUUCGUAGAUAUUAGGAAGAACACCAGUGGCGAAGGCGGCUCACUGGUCUGGUACUGACGCUGAGGUGCGAAAGCGUGGGGAGCAAACAGGAUUAGAUACCCGUGUAGUCC
rnacentral:rRNA from 1 species